CUCGUGCCCAUUUUAGUUCGGUCCACUCGGAUCACCUUGGCUCCAAAGUCUGCCAGGAUCAUGCCACAGAACGGUGCCGGAACCAGGCCGGCCAGCUCAACAACUUUCAGUCCAGCCAGUGCCAUGAUGAAAGAACUUUGUUACACCCUCACCUGGACGAGACAGACCACCUCCUUCCAGGGGAAUACUGUGUUCUUUGUAAUCAAAGGAGAAGUGACCCUCGACCACACUUGGCUGCAACACAGGACCUGAACAUCCGAUACAACGUUGCCAGACUGCACAUUCUCCAUGUGUCGGCUGAACCUUAAUAUCCUUUCCACCAAUAUCACAAACAGGAUGCAGGAUGAAGAGCUGACUGAAAGUAAUGACCGCUUUCAGACUUAGACAAAUAAGUUAAUGAUAAAACACUGUAAAACUGAAAUUAAACUAGUCAGAUUGGAGCUUGUAAACCAUGUUGGGCUCAAUGGUUGAUGUGCACAUUUAAAAAAUAUACCUAAACAAUUACAGAAGUC